rnacentral:lncRNA from 1 species
AUGGGUGUAGUCGUGGAGGUCCUAAAAGGUGUAGUCAUGGAGGACCGAAAAGGUGUAGUCAUGGAGGUGCCAAUGGGUGUACCUGUGGAGAUCCCAUUGGGUGUCACCAUGGAGAUCCUAAAAGGUGUAGUCAUGGAGGACCCAAAAAACGUAGUCAUGGAGGACCGAAAAGGUGCUGUCGUGGAGGACCCAAUGGGUGUCACCAUGGAGGUCUUGAGGGGUGUAGUCAUGGAGAUCCUGAAAGGUGUAGUCUUAGAGGAGCCAAUGGGUGUAGCCAUGGAGGGCCCAAUAGGUGUAACUGUGGAGAUCCCAUUGGGUGUCACCAUGGAGAUCCUAAAAGGUGUAGUCAUGGAGGACCUAAAAGGUGUAGUCAUGGAGAUCCUAAAAGGUGUAGUCAUGGAGGACCCAAGAAGUGUAGUCAUGGAGGUCAACAUGAGCGUAGUCAUGGAGGUCCCAAAGGGUGUCAUCAUGGAGAUCUUGAGAGGUGUUACUGUGGAGGACCCAAAAGGUGUAAUCAUGGAGGACCCAGUGGGUGUAGCCAUGGAGGUCUUGGGGAGUGUAACUGUGGAGGACCCAAUGGGUGUAACUUUGGAGGUCUUGAGGAGUGUAACUGUGGAGAUCCUAAAAGGUGUAGUCAUGGAGAUCCUAAAAGGUGUAGUAAUGGAGGACCCAAUGGAUGUAGCCAUGGAGAUCCUAAAAGGUGUAGUCGUGGAGGACCCAAGAAGUGUAGUCAUAGAGGUCAAAAUGGGUGUAGUCAUGGAGGUCUCGAGAGGUGUUACCAUGGAGGACCCAAAAGGUGUAGUCAUGAAGGACCCAAUGGGUGUAGCCAUGGGGGUCCCAGAAAGUGUAGUAAUGGAGGACUCAAUGGGUGUAACCGUGGAGGACCCAAAAGCUGCAGUCAUGGAGGUCACAAAAAAUGUAGUCAUGGAGGACCCAAUGGGUGUAACCAUGGAGGUCCUAAUGGGUGUCACCACGGAGAUCCCUUUGGGUGUCACCAUGGAGGACCCAAUGGAUGUCACCAUGGAGAUCCCUUUGGGUGUCACCACGGAGAUCCCUUUGGGUGUCACCAUGGAGGACCCAAUGGAUGUCACCAUGGAGAUCCCUUUGGGUGUCACCACGGAGAUCCCUUUGGGUGUCACCAUGGAGAUCCCAGUGGGUGUCACCACAGCGAUCCCAUGGGGUGGUGCUGUCUGUGGGUCUGGCAGCAGAGAUCCCAAAGGUCACAACCCCACAUAUCCCUAUAGGUGUGACUGUGGAGAUCCCACGGGAUCCAAAGGAGGGCAUCUGGGCCACCCCAACGGAGCCACCCACGGGUGCCCCAAAGGAGGGGGCCUGGAUCACCCCAACAGAGCCAUCCAAGGACAACCGAAGGGACACGGUCAUCGACAUCCCCAGGGAUGGGGUGAAGGACACCGCAUGGGACCCAACAACCACCAACACCCCAUGGCGUGGGGUCAAGGACACCCCAAAGGACCCAACCAUGGAGACCCCAACGGAUUCAACCACGCACACCCCGAGGGUUGA